rnacentral:rRNA from 1 species
UACGGAGGGUGCAAGCGUUAUCCGGAUUCACUGGGUUUAAAGGGUGCGUAGGUGGGAUGGUAAGUCAGUGGUGAAAUCUCCAAGCUUAACUUGGAAACUGCCGUUGAUACUAUCAUUCUUGAAUCUCGUGGAGGUAAGCGGAAUAUGUCAUGUAGCGGUGAAAUGCUUAGAUAUGACAUAGAACACCGAUAGCGAAGGCAGCUUGCUACACUGUUAUUGACACUGAGGCACGAAAGCGUGGGGAUCAAACAGG